rnacentral:rRNA from 1 species
CAGGGAAUCUUGGGCAAUGGGCGAAAGCCUGACCCAGCGACGUCGCGUGGGGGACGAAGGCCUUAGGGUUGUAAACCCCUUUUCCGAGGGAAGAGAAAGGACGGUACCUCGGGAAUAAGCCCCGGCUAACUACGUGCCAGCAGCCGCGGUAAUACGUAGGGGGCAAGCGUUACCCGGAAUCACUGGGCGUAAAGUGCGCGUAGGCGGUUGGAUAAGUCUCUUGUGAAAGCUCCCGGCUCAACUGGGAGAGGUCAAGGGAUACUAUUCGACUAGAGGACAGCAGAGGUAAGCAGAAUUCCCGGUGUAGCGGUGGAAUGCGUAGAUAUCGGGAGGAACACCAGUGGCGAAAGCGGCUUACUGGGCUGUAUCUGACGCUGAGGCGCGAGAGCGUGGGGAGCAAACUGGAUUAGAUACCCCCGUAGUCC